rnacentral:rRNA from 1 species
UGUUUUCCGUAGGUGAACCUGCGGGAGGAUCAUUCCCAGUCUUAU